UAAAUGACUCUUGGCAAUGCAUAUCUUGGCUCUCGUGUCAAUAAAGAACGUAGCGAAAUUCGACACUUGGUGUGAAUUGCAGAAUCCCGUGAACCAUCGAGUCUUUGAAUGCAAGUUGCGCUCGAGGCCAUUAGGUCGAGGGCACGUCUGUUUGGGUGUCAUAC
rnacentral:rRNA from 1 species